GACGAACGCUGGCGGCGUGCCUAAUACAUGCAAGUUGAGCGCUGAAGGUUGAUACUUGUACCGACUGGAUGAGCAGCGAACGGGUGAGUAACGCGUGGGGAAUCUGCCUUUGAGCGGGGGACAACAUUUGGAAACGAAUGCUAAUACCGCAUAAAAACUUUAAACACAAGUUUUAAGUUUGAAAGAUGCAAUUGCAUCACUCAAAGAUGAUCCCGCGUUGUAUUAGCUAGUUGGUGAGGUAAAGGCUCACCAAGGCGAUGAUACAUAGCCGACCUGAGAGGGUGAUCGGCCACAUUGGGACUGAGACACGGCCCAAACUCCUACGGGAGGCAGCAGUAGGGAAUCUUCGGCAAUGGACGAAAGUCUGACCGAGCAACGCCGCGUGAGUGAAGAAGGUUGUCGGAUCGUAAAACUCUGUUGGUAGAGAAGAACGUUGGUGAGAGUGGAAAGCUCAUCAAGUGACGGUAACUACCCAGAAAGGGACGGCUAACUACGUG
rnacentral:rRNA from 1 species